AUUGAACGCUGGCGGCAUGCCUUACACAUGCAAGUCGAACGGCAGCACGGGAGCAAUCCUGGUGGCGAGUGGCGAACGGGUGAGUAAUAUAUCGGAACGUGCCCAGUCGUGGGGGAUAACGUAGCGAAAGCUACGCUAAUACCGCAUACGAUCUAUGGAUGAAAGCGGGGGGAUCGCAAGACCUCGCGCGAUUGGAGCGGCCGAUAUCAGAUUAGGUAGUUGGUGAGGUAAAGGCUCGCCAAGCCGACGAUCUGUAGCUGGUCUGAGAGGACGACCAGCCACACUGGGACUGAGACAGGCCCAGACUCCUACGGGAGGCAGCAGUGGGGAAUUUUGGACAAUGGGCGCAAGCCUGAUCCAGCAAUGCCGCGUGCAGGA
rnacentral:rRNA from 1 species